UGGGGACUAGUAUCAACGGCAUCACGAGGGUCCUACUGUCUCCUCUCUCCAAUCAAUGAAACUGAUCUCCCCGUGAAGAAGCGGGGAUUUAACUAUAAGACGAGAAGACCCCAUGGAGCUUUAAACCCGACUACACCUCCACCUCUUAUACCCACAUAAUCAACGGAGUACUGUACAUCGGUUUUGGGUUGGGGUGACCACGGAGCACAAACUAACCUCCAUGAUGAAUAAGACUAACCCUUUAUCUAAGAGACACACCUCUAAGAAUUAGCACACUAACAUAAAAUGAUCCGAUAUUCGAUCAACGAACCAAGUUACCCUGGGGAUAACAGCGCAAUCCACUUCAAGAGCCCCUAUCCACAAGUGGGUUUACGACCUCGAUGUUGGAUCAGGGUAUCCUAGUGGUGCAGCAGCUACUAAAGGUUCGUUUGUUCAACGAUUAAAACCCU
rnacentral:rRNA from 1 species